GGGUCCAUAGUUCAGUGGUAGAGCAUUUGACUGCAGAUCAAUAGGUCGCUGGUUCGAAUCCGGCUGGGCCUU
rnacentral:tRNA from 1 species